AUCUACUUCCAAACUUCAAG
rnacentral:misc_RNA from 1 species